rnacentral:misc_RNA from 1 species
GAGUUGAGUUGAGUUGAGUUGUACAGUGAUUACUUUCCGUAAAUUGUUUUCGUAAAGUAAAAUAAUUCUACUUUAUUUUAAACAAAGUAAUCACGGAGAAACUACCAUAUAUAUAUAUAAGAAUGAAAUUAGUUUUUUUUUAAGUAGAAUAAAUUCAGUUAUUAAUAAAUUAUAGUAAGGGUAAUUUGGUCAAAUAUUAAAAAAAUUCCAAUAGUUAUUUGUUAAUGGGAAAGAGCUGCUUGUAUCAUUGGCCUAGCUCUUGGAGAUAAAACAUCUAUUAGUUGGAUUUUAACCGUUAAACCAAACAACCCCUAAUAUGAUGACAAUCAGGACAUGACUCCUCCAACCAUUGAUUAUCAACACUAAGGACUAUGUUCACACAUCUAAAGGGAAUUCUAAGAUAACUUUGUUUUUGGCUAAGUAAACCCUACUUUGUAAAUUAAUACCCUUGGAUGAAUCAGUAAUGGCUCAUCAUGAAGUGACUAAAAACUAGUGUCAUCAUAGAAGGCACCCGUCUAAAGAUGGGUUACAUUGAUUGAGGAAUUGUUUGAGAUGUUUUGAUCAGACCCUUGGAUGAACUAAUUAAGUAGAGUAAGCUAUCCAAGCAGAAGAUACAAAAAGGACAAAGACUGAAAAUAGCCUUUCAUCUAUGGUGCAGCACUUCACUUAACCUAAAGCUACUAGCCCAUUUGUAAUUUUAUAAUACGGGCUUACUAGUCAACAUUAGCCUGAAUAACUGUUUAAAAGAAGCCCAUUGGAUAAUGUUUUAAAAGAAGCCAGAGAAAAGUUAGGGUUUCGAAAGGAAAAGGAGAAAAAUGAGGAAAUUGCUCGACAGUUCUACCAUCUCUAUCUCAUUUCCUCCCCUCCCCACUCCCUCUUCUUCUAUUUUGAUGAAGUAACGGCUUAAUAAAAAAAGGGGCACCCAGCAGUCUUUCUAUAGGGUAAGAAGUGUUGCAUUAUCUAUAUGGCCAAUAAUUGCCUGUAACAGCUGAAAUAUUAUCAAUAAUGCCACUAAUGUAAUGUAACCUUGAAAUACAUAACAAAACGGAACAGCCAAUGAUUAAAUCAGGAGUUACUUGAUAAAAAUAGCAUCUAUCAUAUGUAAUAUAUAAUUUAGGUAGCAGCACAUAGGCCUAUAAUUAUAUAAACAUUAUGUGAUUUCGAGGUCACAAAUAACACGUCAUGUUUCUUGAUGAUUUCACUUUUUUCCUUCAUGUUUAACCUGGCUAGGUGAUGGAAAGGAAAACUAACAACAUCAAAAUUAAGGAAAGACAAGCAAACAAAAGAAGAGAGAAUUUGGAAUCUAG